GAUGAACGCUGGCGGCGUGCCUAAUACAUGCAAGUCGAGCGAACAGAUGAGGAGCUUGCUCCUCUGACGUUAGCGGCGGACGGGUGAGUAACACGUGGAUAACCUACCUAUAAGACUGGGAUAACUUCGGGAAACCGGAGCUAAUACCGGAUAAUAUAUUGAACCGCAUGGUUCAAUAGUGAAAGACGGUUUUGCGGUCACUUAUAGAUGGAUCCCCGCCGCAUUAGCUAGUUGGUAAGGUAACGGCUUAUCAAGGCAACGAUGCGUAGCCGACCGGAGAGGGUGAUCGGCCACACUGGAACUGAGACACGGUCCAGACUCCUACGGGAGGCAGCAGUAGGGAAUCUUCCGCAAUGGGCGAAAGCCUGACGGAGCAACGCCGCGUGAGUGAUGAAGGUCUUCGGAUCGUAAAACUCUGUUAUUAGGGAAGAACAAAUGUGUAAGUAACUAUGCACGUCUUGACGGUACCUAAUAAGAAAGCCACGGCUAACUACGUG
rnacentral:rRNA from 1 species